AGAAAUUCGUCAAACAACUAUCGGAUGCGGAAGCUAAACCAUUCUUGGUUCUUGACUACGUUGAAGGUACAAAAUGGUUGCUUCCCCCUCCGACAGUACCUAAAUAAUUCAUUCAUUCCCAACUUUUUCAUGCCGGCAACGUAUACUCACAGUAUUGCUAAUUCAAGCAGACUCUCGUCUACCUCUUUGCUGGGUGGAAAUAACUAGCCAUCCAUUUUAUUUUAUUUAUUUUAUUUUCCCUUCCCAUGGCUUGUAUUUUAACAAAUAGCCAAAUGUCAAUAAGAAGCAGAAUUUAGUCUUAUUUUUAUUAAUAGUUAGGAUGUUGAUAUUUGCGAUUAUGUAGAAAAUUUCCAUCAUAUCAAGUUAAAAUUAUGUAAUAAUAUCCAUCAUAUAUCCAAGUUCAUUGAUUCAAUAAGUCAAGGUGAUUUCACAAACUUUUGCAUUUUAGCAAAUAAAUGGACCAUUACUGUAUAUUUGUGUAACAGCUCGUUUUCAGUAGUGUCAGAAAUAGUGGAUUUGGGACCACGAUUUUGACAAGCAGUCAGCAUUUUAAUUAAUUUUUCUUUGAUAAAAUUAUUUUAAUUAUUUAUUUAGUAUUUGCUGGGUUCAUGCCCCCGUUAAUGACUCCCUAGGGUUUAGGUUCUUCCUUUCCCAAACAGUUGAUCCGUUGAGUAGCCCUAUAAAACAGUUAACAAAUCAUACCUCCACUCGCUAAUCCCCAUAGAGGGGUCAGUUCCUCAUGGUUUUCAUAAAUAAUAUGGAAUUGAGUUAAAGAUAGAACAUGAUAAUUGAAUUGAGGUGUAGAGUUUAAAAAAGUACCUGAUUUGUAGUAAAGAUGAAUAUGAAUUCACAAAGUUUGAUCGUCUUUACAAAUCAGAUCUCUCGAGAUAAAGCAAGAACAACUUGAAAAUAAUUCUAAAAACCUAAAAGAAAGAAUAUCUGAACUGGAAUUAAAAGAAAAAAGAACUAUACUAAGUAAUUGAUGUCCGUAACAUGUGAAAAAAGAUCCUAUUUAUAGAUUUCAGGUGGCCUUCGUCGUCAAACCUAGGUUAGUUGAAGUUCUAGAGCUUUAAGUUUGAUUAUGCAAACCAAAACGCCCUCUGGCUCGUGUUAGUUUCCGUCCAGAGUCGAUGUCGCGAUACAUCAGGACCUGUGUCGCAACAAAGGAUUCUAUACACUCCUCUUGGGAUAUCUUUAGGGGUAUGUCGCAACACCCUUAUAUUGUGUCGCAACAUCGAAAGCAGUUUCGUGAUUUCUUUAUCCUGCUCCCUAAGUUGCUACAUUGAUCAUUUUGUGUUGAGACAUAGUGACCAGAAUCUGUUAAUUACUCUUUCUAAUGCUCUCCUGCAUACUUACACAGUUCAUUAGCUUCCCCUUAAACCUCAUCCAGCCCCUAAGGUUAAUAAAAGGCUCAAUUUGUACAUCACAUUACAUUUAAGAAGAGUUGCAAGAACAUAAUUAAAAUCUAACGAAAAUGCUUGCUUUCAACCUCCUAAAGUGCGGAAAUUAGUUUAAUCUACUACACGGAAUUACGGUAUGUCAAGUACACGACUUCAUGCUCGAAUCCACGAUUUAUAAUGUUAUUUAUAGCCCUUUUCACAUAAUUUUGGCUUUUUUUAAUAGCUAAAUCAAGUCAUUUUGUAAUAAUAUAUGUUUUUACAGGUUAAAUAGUUAACUUAGUUUUUUUUAAUAGAUUUUAUUGUAUUUGAUAGCUAAAAAAGGGUUAUGUGGUUCUAUAAGAUGAACCGAGAGUUAAUAAUGGAAUUUCAGGCCAAAACUGCUGCUGAUGUCGUGACCACAAAGUAUGGAAGUAAUAUAAAUAUUAACUUUGUUAAUUACCAUUUGAUUCUUUUUUAGUUAUAUAAAUACUUGCUUAAUUUAAAUCUGUUCCUAUAAAAUACUUUAAGAUGUAUUCCCUAUGUUUUAUAUAAUCACAACUUGUGUGAAAUUGCCGUAUAAAAUUUAUAUUUUUAUUUAGAAACUUAGUACGUUAUAGAUAUUUUAUGUUCGGUAUUGUGUUUCGUAGAUUCUAUCAACAAAUUUUUUCGACCUUUCACGAAUGAAAGAAAAGGAAACAUAAAACUUAAUUGGCAAUUUCCAAUUAGAAUCAAACUUUUCCUCAUUUAUAUAAACCUAAUAGAUAAUUAAUUUAGUAAUAACUUCAAAAUAAACAAGUAAGUAUUAACGGGGCAACAAAUGAAGGCAACAACAUAAAAUAUUUCCAUUCCUUACAUUAAAUUCACCCGGUUUAGGUUUUGCACUUAGGAUUAUUGUUCAAUGAUCAUGGGUGUCUGAAGUCCAAAUUCCGUGUAUUUGGCAACAAUUAUAUUCAAUUUAUACUCAUUAAUGGCGAUCAACUGCCAAAUGCUCGGUCUGAACUGUAGCAAUGCUUGCACCAAGAACUACGCAAAUGAGUGGCAAUGCGAGGAAUCCUCCAAGUCUCAUUUGUUUUAAUACUUUUUUUGUCACCAAUUUAUCUUAUAAAUUGGAGUCACUUAGAAUUCAAAGACAACCUCAAUAAUCAAUAAACGAAGAAAAUAAACAAAUUACUCUUUUUAUUAAAAGGAAAGAAGGAGGAGGAGGAAAUGGAUGGAAAAAGAAUCGAGGGCAAUGAAGUUUAUGCUCUAGCAAUGUGUGUAAGUAUUCUCCUCUUUGCUCCGAUUGUUGUGUCACAACCAAUACCGGCAGAUAAAUCCCAAGUGGAAGCUUGGUUUAAUGGCAUUAUCAAGCCGGUGAAGGAAAGGGGUACAACCUUAGACCCUGAAUUGGUUCAAGCCGAGACAGAACCUAGAAUCAUAAAGGUGAUGCAAGGUGGGGGUGGAGAAUUCGAUACCAUAACCAAAGCCAUCGAGAGCGUUCCAUCAGGGAACGCCAAACGCGUGAUUAUAUCCAUCGGACCUGGAUCUUACAAAGAGAAAAUUAGAAUUGAAAGAAAUAAGCCUUUCAUUACAUUGUUAGGAGAUCCUAAAAACAUGCCAAAUUUGACAUUUGACGGCACCGCCAAGCAAUAUGGAACCGUAGAUAGUGCCACUCUUAUUACUGAGAGUAAUUACUUUGUGGGUGCUAAUCUCAAUAUAGUGGUAAGUUAAUGUAGAGUUUAGACAACCAUGAUCUGUCCUUUAUUGAAUUGAUUAUUAAAGGGAUUUUUUUUUAUGGUGGCAUGUUAUGCAUAUAGAACUCUGCUCCAAGGCCAGACGGGAAAAUGGUAGGAGCACAGGCGGUUGCUCUGAGAGUCUCCGGCGACAGGUCGGCUUUCUAUAACUGCAAGAUCAUUGGCUUCCAGGACACUUUGUGCGAUGACAGGGGCAACCAUUUCUUUAAGGAUUGCCAUAUUCGUGGCACUGUUGAUUUCAUUUUCGGAAGCGGGACAUCUUUAUAUCUGGUAUUCAUAUUCCCAAUGCGUGAAAUAUGAUGUAUUAUACCCCCAUAUAUAUAUUUGACAAGAAAAGUGGGAUGCAGAACACGGAAAUAUUCGUGGUAGGAGAUCCAGAAGGAGAUCCGGAAAUGGCAAUAAUUACAGCACAUGCGCGAGAAAGUUCAUCGGAGGACACGGGUUAUUCGUUCGUGCAUGGCAGAAUUACAGGAACAGCGAAGGACGUAUUUUUGGGCAGGGCCUGGAAGAGCAGUCCGAGGGUUGUUUAUUCUUAUACUGAAAUGGACGAAAUCGUCCAUCCUGGUGGAUGGUCUAGUAAUCGCCAACCUGAACGAGCCGAGUAAGAUAAUACUCAGCCUUACAACGUUACAUGCCUACAAGUAAACUAAUCUUUCCCAACUUAUUGAUAAAUUUAUUAAGAUAUAUAAUGUGAGAAUGGUUUGACACGCAGCACUGUGUACUACGGAGAAUACAAAUGCACGGGGAAAGGCGCGACUCCUGCUACACGAGAGAAAUUCGUCAAACAACUAUCGGAUGCGGAAGCUAAACCAUUCUUGGUUCUUGACUACGUUGAAGGUACAAAAUGGUUGCUUCCCCCUCCGACAGUACCUAAAUAAUUCAUUCAUUCCCAACUUUUUCAUGCCGGCAACGUAUACUCACAGUAUUGCUAAUUCAAGCAGACUCUCGUCUACCUCUUUGCUGGGUGGAAAUAACUAGCCAUCCAUUUUAUUUUAUUUAUUUUAUUUUCCCUUCCCAUGGCUUGUAUUUUAACAAAUAGCCAAAUGUCAAUAAGAAGCAGAAUUUAGUCUUAUUUUUAUUAAUAGUUAGGAUGUUGAUAUUUGCGAUUAUGUAGAAAAUUUCCAUCAUAUCAAGUUAAAAUUAUGUAAUAAUAUCCAUCAUAUAUCCAAGUUCAUUGAUUCAAUAAGUCAAGGUGAUUUCACAAACUUUUGCAUUUUAGCAAAUAAAUGGACCAUUACUGUAUAUUUGUGUAACAGCUCGUUUUCAGUAGUGUCAGAAAUAGUGGAUUUGGGACCACGAUUUUGACAAGCAGUCAGCAUUUUAAUUAAUUUUUCUUUGAUAAAAUUAUUUUAAUUAUUUAUUUAGUAUUUGCUGGGUUCAUGCCCCCGUUAAUGACUCCCUAGGGUUUAGGUUCUUCCUUUCCCAAACAGUUGAUCCGUUGAGUAGCCCUAUAAAACAGUUAACAAAUCAUACCUCCACUCGCUAAUCCCCAUAGAGGGGUCAGUUCCUCAUGGUUUUCAUAAAUAAUAUGGAAUUGAGUUAAAGAUAGAACAUGAUAAUUGAAUUGAGGUGUAGAGUUUAAAAAAGUACCUGAUUUGUAGUAAAGAUGAAUAUGAAUUCACAAAGUUUGAUCGUCUUUACAAAUCAGAUCUCUCGAGAUAAAGCAAGAACAACUUGAAAAUAAUUCUAAAAACCUAAAAGAAAGAAUAUCUGAACUGGAAUUAAAAGAAAAAAGAACUAUACUAAGUAAUUGAUGUCCGUAACAUGUGAAAAAAGAUCCUAUUUAUAGAUUUCAGGUGGCCUUCGUCGUCAAACCUAGGUUAGUUGAAGUUCUAGAGCUUUAAGUUUGAUUAUGCAAACCAAAACGCCCUCUGGCUCGUGUUAGUUUCCGUCCAGAGUCGAUGUCGCGAUACAUCAGGACCUGUGUCGCAACAAAGGAUUCUAUACACUCCUCUUGGGAUAUCUUUAGGGGUAUGUCGCAACACCCUUAUAUUGUGUCGCAACAUCGAAAGCAGUUUCGUGAUUUCUUUAUCCUGCUCCCUAAGUUGCUACAUUGAUCAUUUUGUGUUGAGACAUAGUGACCAGCAUCUGUUAAUUACUCUUUCUAAUGCUCUCCUGCAUACUUACACAGUUCAUUAGCUUCCCCUUAAACCUCAUCCAGCCCCUAAGGUUAAUAAAAGGCUCAAUUUGUACAUCACAUUACAUUUAAGAAGAGUUGCAAGAACAUAAUUAAAAUCUAACGAAAAUGCUUGCUUUCAACCUCCUAAAGUGCGGAAAUUAGUUUAAUCUACUACACGGAAUUACGGUAUGUCAAGUACACGACUUCAUGCUCGAAUCCACGAUUUAUAAUGUUAUUUAUAGCCCUUUUCACAUAAUUUUGGCUUUUUUUUAAUAGCUAAAUCAAGUCAUUUUGUAAUAAUAUAUGUUUUUACAGGUUAAAUAGUUAACUUAGUUUUUUUUAAUAGAUUUUAUUGUAUUUGAUAGCUAAAAAAAGGUUAUGUGGUUCUAUAAGAUGAACCGAGAGUUAAUAAUGGAAUUUCAGGCCAAAACUGCUGCUGAUGUCGUGACCACAAAGUAUGGAAGUAAUAUAAAUAUUAACUUUGUUAAUUACCAUUUGAUUCUUUUUUAGUUAUAUAAAUACUUGCUUAAUUUAAAUCUGUUCCUAUAAAAUACUUUAAGAUGUAUUCCCUAUGUUUUAUAUAAUCACAACUUGUGUGAAAUUGCCGUAUAAAAUUUAUAUUUUUAUUUAGAAACUUAGUACGUUAUAGAUAUUUUAUGUUCGGUAUUGUGUUUCGUAGAUUCUAUCAACAAAUUUUUUCGACCUUUCACGAAUGAAAGAAAAGGAAACAUAAAACUUAAUUGGCAAUUUCCAAUUAGAAUCAAACUUUUCCUCAUUUAUAUAAACCUAAUAGAUAAUUAAUUUAGUAAUAACUUCAAAAUAAACAAGUAAGUAUUAACGGGGCAACAAAUGAAGGCAACAACAUAAAAUAUUUCCAUUCCUUACAUUAAAUUCACCCGGUUUAGGUUUUGCACUUAGGAUUAUUGUUCAAUGAUCAUGGGUGUCUGAAGUCCAAAUUCCGUGUAUUUGGCAACAAUUAUAUUCAAUUUAUACUCAUUAAUGGCGAUCAACUGCCAAAUGCUCGGUCUGAACUGUAGCAAUGCUUGCACCAAGAACUACGCAAAUGAGUGGCAAUGCGAGGAAUCCUCCAAGUCUCAUUUGUUUUAAUACUUUUUUUGUCACCAAUUUAUCUUAUAAAUUGGAGUCACUUAGAAUUCAAAGACAACCUCAAUAAUCAAUAAACGAAGAAAAUAAACAAAUUACUCUUUUUAUUAAAAGGAAAGAAGGAGGAGGAGGAAAUGGAUGGAAAAAGAAUCGAGGGCAAUGAAGUUUAUGCUCUAGCAAUGUGUGUAAGUAUUCUCCUCUUUGCUCCGAUUGUUGUGUCACAACCAAUACCGGCAGAUAAAUCCCAAGUGGAAGCUUGGUUUAAUGGCAUUAUCAAGCCGGUGAAGGAAAGGGGUACAACCUUAGACCCUGAAUUGGUUCAAGCCGAGACAGAACCUAGAAUCAUAAAGGUGAUGCAAGGUGGGGGUGGAGAAUUCGAUACCAUAACCAAAGCCAUCGAGAGCGUUCCAUCAGGGAACGCCAAACGCGUGAUUAUAUCCAUCGGACCUGGAUCUUACAAAGAGAAAAUUAGAAUUGAAAGAAAUAAGCCUUUCAUUACAUUGUUAGGAGAUCCUAAAAACAUGCCAAAUUUGACAUUUGACGGCACCGCCAAGCAAUAUGGAACCGUAGAUAGUGCCACUCUUAUUACUGAGAGUAAUUACUUUGUGGGUGCUAAUCUCAAUAUAGUGGUAAGUUAAUGUAGAGUUUAGACAACCAUGAUCUGUCCUUUAUUGAAUUGAUUAUUAAAGGGAUUUUUUUUUUAUGGUGGCAUGUUAUGCAUAUAGAACUCUGCUCCAAGGCCAGACGGGAAAAUGGUAGGAGCACAGGCGGUUGCUCUGAGAGUCUCCGGCGACAGGUCGGCUUUCUAUAACUGCAAGAUCAUUGGCUUCCAGGACACUUUGUGCGAUGACAGGGGCAACCAUUUCUUUAAGGAUUGCCAUAUUCGUGGCACUGUUGAUUUCAUUUUCGGAAGCGGGACAUCUUUAUAUCUGGUAUUCAUAUUCCCAAUGCGUGAAAUAUGAUGUAUUAUACCCCCAUAUAUAUAUUUGACAAGAAAAGUGGGAUGCAGAACACGGAAAUAUUCGUGGUAGGAGAUCCAGAAGGAGAUCCGGAAAUGGCAAUAAUUACAGCACAUGCGCGAGAAAGUUCAUCGGAGGACACGGGUUAUUCGUUCGUGCAUGGCAGAAUUACAGGAACAGCGAAGGACGUAUUUUUGGGCAGGGCCUGGAAGAGCAGUCCGAGGGUUGUUUAUUCUUAUACUGAAAUGGACGAAAUCGUCCAUCCUGGUGGAUGGUCUAGUAAUCGCCAACCUGAACGAGCCGAGUAAGAUAAUACUCAGCCUUACAACGUUACAUGCCUACAAGUAAACUAAUCUUUCCCAACUUAUUGAUAAAUUUAUUAAGAUAUAUAAUGUGAGAAUGGUUUGACACGCAGCACUGUGUACUACGGAGAAUACAAAUGCACGGGGAAAGGCGCGACUCCUGCUACACGAGAGAAAUUCGUCAAACAACUAUCGGAUGCGGAAGCUAAACCAUUCUUGGUUCUUGACUACGUUGAAGGUACAAAAUGGUUGCUUCCCCCUCCGACAGUACCUAAAUAAUUCAUUCAUUCCCAACUUUUUCAUGCCGGCAACGUAUACUCACAGUAUUGCUAAUUCAAGCAGACUCUCGUCUACCUCUUUGCUGGGUGGAAAUAACUAGCCAUCCAUUUUAUUUUAUUUAUUUUAUUUUCCCUUCCC
rnacentral:lncRNA from 1 species